GACGAACGCUGGCGGCGUGCUUAACACAUGCAAGUCGAGCGGUAAGGCCCUUUCGGGGGUACACGAGCGGCGAACGGGUGAGUAACACGUGGGUGACCUGCCCUCAGCUCUGGGAUAAGCCCGGGAAACUGGGUCUAAUACCGGAUAUGACUCCAUGACGCAUGUUGUGGGGUGGAAAGCCUUGUGCGGCUGAGGAUGGGCCCGCGGCCUAUCAGCUUGUUGGUGGGGUGAUGGCCACCAAGGCGACGACGGGUAGCCGGCCUGAGAGGGCGACCGGCCACACUGGGACUGAGACACGGCCCAGACUCCUACGGGAGGCAGCAGUGGGGAAUCUUGCGCAAUGGGCGAAAGCCUGACGCAGCGACGCCGCGUGGGUGACGAAGGCC
rnacentral:rRNA from 1 species